UGGAGGCAGCAGUGGGGAAUCUUGCACAAUGGGGGAAACCCUGAUGCAGCGACGCCGCGUGAGCGAUGAAGCCCUUCGGGGUGUAAAGCUCUUUCGGCAGGAACGAUUAUGACGGUACCUGCAGAAGAAGCUGCGGCUAACUACGUGCCAGCAGCCGCGGUAAUACGUAGGCAGCGAGCGUUGUUCGGAGUUACUGGGCGUAAAGAGUAUGUAGGCGGUUGCGUAAGUUUGGUGUGAAAUCUCCCGGCUUAACUGGGAGGGUGCGCCGAAAACUGCGUGGCUAGAGUGCGGGAGAGGAUAGCGGAAUUCCUGGUGUAGCGGUGAAAUGCGUAGAUAUCAGGAGGAACACCGGCGGUGUAGACGGCUAUCUGGACCGUUACUGACGCUGAGAUACGAAAGCGUGGGUAGCAAACAGGAUUAGAUACCCCAGUAGUCG
rnacentral:rRNA from 1 species